rnacentral:rRNA from 1 species
GUGGUUUAAUUCGAUGCAACGCGAAGAACCUUUACCUGGUCUUGACAUCACGGAAGUUUUCAGAGAUGAGAAUGUGGCCUUCGGGAACCGUGAGACAGGUGCUGCAUGGCUGUCGUCAGCUCGUGUUGUGAAAUGUUGGGUUAAGUCCCGCAACGAGCGCAACCCUUAUCCUUUGUUGCCAGCGGUCCGGCCGGGAACUCAAAGGAGACUGCCAGUGAUAAACUGGAGGAAGGUGGGAGUGACGUCAAGUCAUCAUGGCCCUUACGACCAGGGCUACACACGUGCUACAAUGGCGCAUACAAAGAGAAGCGACCUCGCGAGAGCAAGCGGACCUCAUAAAGUGCGUCGUAGUCCGGAUUGGAGUCUGCAACUCGACUCCAUGAAGUCGGAAUCGCUAGUAAUCGUGGAUCAGAAUGCCACGGUGAAUACGUUCCCGGGCCUU